rnacentral:rRNA from 1 species
GACGAACGCUGGCGGCGUGGAUUAGGCAUGCAAGUCGAACGGUAUCAUCCUUUCGGGGGUGAGAGAGUGGCGAACUGGUGAGUAACACGUAGGUUAUCUACCCUCAAGACGGGGACAACCCAGGGAAACUUGGGCUAAUACCGGAUGUGAGCAACUUUUAGUUGUUUGAAAGGUGGCGUAAGCUGUCGCUUGGGGAUGAGCCUGCGUCCUAUUAGUUAGUUGGUGAGGUAACGGCUCACCUAGGCAAUGAUAGGUAGGCGGCCUUAACGGGUGGUCGCCCACACUGGGAUUGAGAUACGGCCCAGACUCCUACGGGAGGCAGCAGUCGAGAAUAGUCUACAAUGGUCGGAAGACUGAUAGUGCGACGCCGCGUGAACGAUGAAUCCCUUCGGGGUGUAAAGUUCUUUUAUAUGUGAGCAGUGCUUCUUAUAUUAACAGUAUGGGGAGAGAGAUAUUAGCAUAUGAAUAAGCAACGGCUAACUCCGUGCCAGCAGCGGCGGUAAACUCGU